rnacentral:misc_RNA from 1 species
UUUUUUUUUUUUUUUUGGUAUAUUAAAGUAAAUUGAGCCAACCUGAUUUUUUUUUUUCAUCACAGGAUUUAAGUUAUCCAUUUUCAAUAUCAUACGAGGAAUUAUUGAAUAUUUCCAAUAUAAAGAAUUAUCGAGUGCUCGCGAAUUCCACUAAUCAUUUUUCAGACGUGAGAUUAUAAAAAUUAAAAUAAAAAGGACGAGAGAGAUUAUAAAGAUUAAAAUAAAAAGUAACAGAGGAAAAAUUUUCAAGAAUUCUCCAGCUCACUUUAUUUGGCAUUUUAAUUUUUUAUGUAGGCGAGGGAAAGAGAUCAUAGUCAUAUACUCCAAAACAGGUACUAGUGACAAAAUACAUUACAUUCCAAGACCUGCAUUAUUUUUUACUUGCAUUAGAUACAUGAAAGUCAACUUUAUGUAAGUAUCACACACGCGAACAUAUGUAGCAGAGAGAUGAUCGUUGCGCGCUAGUUAGUCAUGAACGUCAAUAGCCGCAGCUAUACAUUGUGACAAACGAAAAAUCCAAAAUACGCUUUACAUUACCACGCCAAUAGCUCUCUUCCUUGGGGACUUAUCUGAUGGUGUUGCGUAGGAAGUUGGAGAUACUGUUGUUCUACACCGUCCCGCUUUCAUUUUCUUCCUCCUCAACAAUUUUUUCUCUAAAUCUUUCACUCUACCAGUCAGGUUGGAUAUGACUGCCAAUUGUUCUUUCCCUGCCUCAACUAAUUUUUCCAGCAUUUCCCCCAUUUUUUCAUUUUCUUCAACCAGCUUACUAUCACUUUCCAUCUCUAUUCCCUGCUCCUUGACAGACAGCUCGCUGGCAGCAGAGGGCUCAGGUAAUAACUCCCUCUUCUCUUCAUCAUGCUCAGUAAGCAUUAGUUGUGCCUCAACUACAGGCUCUCCCUCAGAAGUUUUCAGCCCGUAAUGCUGAUUAGCCACUUUGUCAGAGCCACUCACCAUCUCCAGAACAUGAAGUUCUUUCUCUUCUUGUACAAUUUCUUCAAUUCCAUCCCUUGCUGUCAGCUGGGCUACAUUAUCCUGAUCUUCUCCAAUGUGUGCAUCUUUCACCGGAGACAGAAUCACUGUGGUUGCAGCCUCUGAAGUGCAGGUGGAGUUGAUAUCAACAAUCCCCUGGUCAACUUCUUUCUGUACUUCAUCAAGAUUCUCUCUCUGCAGAGCAGGGGCUCUUUUGCUUCUCCCCUGGUGGAGAUUCUUCCCUCUGCUUAUCGUCUUUGUUGAAUAGCAAUGAUUGUGAUUGUUGGGCAUCUGCUUCAGGCAUUGCGUUUCUGGGGCAACCACCAUCCUUCUCACUUGCAACAUCUAGCCAAUUAUGCGGUUCAGCAACAAAGAGUCUUUCAUUAACCUCUUCCAUAGACUGCUGCUUUAACUUGCUCCGAAUUGGAACUUCCUCAUCUGGUGAAGACACCUCAGUCUCUGUUGGCCCUUCAUUGAGCAGUUCCAUUGGCUGCUGUUCUGAUUCAGUUAUAACUUGAACUCCUCCAUCAUCAAUUGUCAAUUGCCCACCCUUGUGCAGUUCCUUUGGUUGCAGCUCUAAUGCAUCAAUGGCAGCUUCACAUUCCACAUCUUCAUCACGUAAGACUUCAUUAUCCUGAAUUUCAGUUUGUUCUUGUUUCUCAGAUUCCUCAUCAUCAACUACUCCUACAGGCAAUUAUAGCAGUAAAUUCAUUUCUGGAAUUUCUUCAGGCAUGGUCAUCUCACCAAUUACUGCAAUAGGUGAAAUCAAAUCACUAGAUAUAUUUGAUUCCACCUCUUUGUCCCCUCUUAACCCUAUUAAACUUGUUCCAAUUUGGGGGUCCUCAGCAGAAGCAGCAGGCUCCUUGUCAGUUACAUUUUCCGGCAAUUCUGUUUUGCUCACUUGAGAGUUAUUAUCCAUAUGCUUUGAUUCGUUCACUUCAACUGAUUCAGACCUUUCCUCACUCUUUUGGUCACACCAUAUAUCAUCAAGUUGGGCUCCUGCCAUCUCCUUAGAACCACUCCUCUCUGAUGGCAAUUGGAAUGUUUGCUUAAUCUCAGAAGGCACAUGAUUCUCAGUCAUUAGCUCCGGUUCUUCCAAAUGAGAUUCAAGCUUCGUAAACACUGGUAAAACAUCACUUUCACAUUUCGUCUGCUCCUCUGAGACAACGGGAAGUUUUGAAGCUUCCAUAGCCUGGGUGUCAGACACUACGUCCAUCAUUUGACAAGCAUCAUGAUUUGGAUGUUCUGCUAUAUCGCCAUUUUGUCCUCCUUCAAUGCCUGUGAUAUUAUUAGGCUCAAUGCAAUGAUUUUCAGAAGAUUUAGCUUUCGCAAGUAAAUCAAGCUUCUCCAGCAGUUCUACGAGCUCCCUUGCCAAAGAUUUCCUAACAUCCCUGAGACUUGGGUGCAAUCCCUGUUGGGCAUUGAAAAUAAUAAAAGGAAAAAAAAGGGGAACUAAAUCAGAAACUUACAAUAAAAAAUAAAAAAUCCCUACAGUUUCAGAAGCUGAAUUAUCAUGCCAAAACCAUAAGCACUGUAUCCGAAGCAUUAUAAAAAUAGUUAACACAUAAUGUAUAUGUCGUUAAAAUUAGUACUCUAAACACAUUAUGAUAACAAUUUAACAACAAAUGCAUUCUUCUUCAAUGAUCUUGCUGUGUGUGUAUAUAUGUGCAUGUUUGUUAGAAUGUGUCAACUUGAUCAAUGCACUGUGCAAUCCUAAAUCUGAAUGUUUUUCAAUGUUACUUAAUGUUUCCAUUAAAUAACACAAGUGGAACCAAACUUAUUAAAGAAUCUCAUAUUCUUUUAUCAGAAUCCUUUUUUUCCUUUUUGACACAAAUGAUUAUCGGACAUGACACAUACAACAUGGAAAUUGAUUGUAUUCAUACCUGGAUAGUAUCCAAUUUUAGAAGAAGGCUCAUUAUCGUUUCCCCAAUUACCACCCUUUGCCUUUCAUCUUUUUGGAGAUCAGGAGAGGACUCUAAACCACAAAUCUUAUUCCUAACCUCAACAACCUGCUCCUGGACUUUAGCCAUUUGCUUUAUUUUCUUCAGUAGUUCCCAUUUUCCAACUUCAAACCCAUGGUAAGCAGACUGGAUACGCAGAGCAGCUUCUUCUUCUAAUAGUUCUUUUUUAUCUUCUUUUGGUUCCCCAUCAUCAGAUCUGCCUGCAUUAAUUGUUUCCUUCCUCUGAUUUGCUAUCUCAGUUGCCAGCCCAUCUGCAUUUCUUGAUCCUUUAUCCUCUUUGAUUACACAGUUGUCAUCAUUUUUUCCAGUCUUCUCUGCAGUAAGGUUGCUGGAGGACUCAUUUUCAGAAUCAACUGACGAAGUAAUUGGAAACUGUUGGGUUUGACAGCCAUUCCUCUGUUCUUCAUCCUUGUCUUCACCAGUCUUCCUAUGCACAACCUCUAUAACUUUGUCCUUGUUUUUUCCCCUUCUGCUUCUGUGCCGCUGCUUGAAGUGCUUUCCUGAGCUUGUAAAUUCUGAGAAUUCUUUAAUUUCACGUCCAAUGAAAUUGAGGCCAUGGGAUUAUCCUUUGCUGCAUCUUUUGACUGUUCUUUAAACCCAGGAGGACUGGAAGACCUGGAGAUUGCGUUACCAUUCUUUUUCUGAGGCAAGGGAUCAACUCUUAGACAAACAGGAGAUAACUUUAAUGUCUUUGGUGAGGAUGAUGACUGUCUUUUUGGACUGGAUGCAGUAUCUUUUCCCAUCCCAUUAUCUUCUGCAUUUUUCACAGAAGCAUCUCUUCCUCUCUGCUCAACAUCUUCAGAGUUCUCCUUAGGUGCUUCCAUUUGUUUCACAGGAAUGCUUCUUUGUUUAGAACUUUUUAUCAUUCAGCUCCAAAUCCGCCUGGCUGCCAGAAUUCUCAUGGCCCACUUGAGAUUUAUUCAUGCUAUCAUCACCAUUGGGGCAUUUCACUGGGAAUAACUUGCCACUAGAAGCUACCUCUUCCACAGACUUUGGAGCAGAGUCCAUCUCCACACCUUUCUUCUCAGCCUCACCCUGUCUAUUGUAAGAAGGCAUCCAGAUAAUAGGAAAUGGAAAUUGUCUCAUGUUGUCCUCAUUUUUCUGAUCUGCAGUACUCCUUCCAUUGUCACAUUGCAUUAAAGAUUGAAGGCUUUUCUUGUCAACUGGAAACCAGCUACUCCACACUCCUGGGUCCUGUUCAGAGAGCUUUACAAUUUGAGGAUGCUUCUUAUCUAUAGAAGUCUUGUCAGACUUCACCCUCCUAGCCAUAUCUGAUUCCAAAGACUUCCUAUUCUCUUCAUUCUUCAUAUACUCAGGCGGAAUCCACAAAACUGGAUAUGGAUAAUUUUUCAAUGGAAAUGGAACCAAAAACUCAUCCUUCUUAUUUUCAAUAUUGGGCUCCUGCUCUUCAAUCCUCACACUUUCACCAUUUCUCUGGUCAUGUUUACGGUUACGGCACCCACAACAGUGAUAAUCAUUGUUUCUGGGCUUGUCAUAUUCAUACCUAGGUAGCUCCCUCAAAUAAUGUAGUGGGGGCGCAUAAUGUAGACGGACCACAUCAAGAAAUGGAGGACGAUAUCCACAAUAAUGCAACUGUGGUGAUGAAAAAGGAGGAGGUCCAUAACUACAAUAACAAGGGAAGUUACCCUGGCUGCAAUAGUGGUAACAUGGAACUGAAUAACCAAAACUGUUAGGGUAAAGCCAAGGAUGAUUGAUGACAACAGACUUGGAUGGAUCAACCUUUGCAACAGGUGGAACAGCCUCAAAGCUUGGAUGAUAGUUCUGAUUCCAAGGCAUUUGGUUUCCAUGCAGGGGGUAUGAGUCCAUGCUUCUGUAAACAGGCAUUAUUUUCAGAAAAUCUUUUUACCAAUGUGACACCUUGGUAUUUCUUUUAUCAGUUGAAUGAAAGUAGAUGCCCAGAAAACCACCAAAGGUAGAGAGAACACACAACUAAAGAAAUAAAAAUAAAUUACAGCUUAGGAUGAAAUCAUCCACAGCUGCAUUUCGAGGAAGAAAUAUUGUGAAGAAUAAGCAGUACAGCAUGAGAUAAAGCAGACAACUAAAUGGUAAACCACUAAAAAUCCAACAUUAAAGCAUAAACAUAUUAAAAAUUACAUCACAGACUUUUAAUACAAAUUUAUGGUCCAAAUAUUUUGAACAUUAAGAAUCUGUUUGGAUGAAGAUGAGAGAGGGAUAAAUAAAGGUAAAGAAAGAUAAAUAAUUAUUUUAUCAUUAAUAGAGGAUAAGAGUAAAUAAGAAUAAACUUUACCCUCCCUUUCCCCUCAAAUCUCAAUUUUUUUAAUACCCCGAUGAAAAAGAAGUAAAAAGAGAAAAUAAUUAUGAAUAUUUCUAUUUCUGCACCACUUAAAUUUACCCGUCCUUCACCUCUUCACAAACAUAAAAAAAAUAUAUAUUACCUCCCUUUAUCUUCCCAUUUAUUCACUUCUUUCCAAACAUGAAAUUUUUUUUAUUAUGACUCUCCUCACUCCUCCCCUUCCUUACGUUUUCUUACCCUUCCAUUAAUUAUCAUUCCAUCACCUCAUCCAAACAUACCCUAAAAAAGUUAAAUUUUGAAAGGUUAGGCAAAGUAUUUCCUACUGAAAAAUUUACAGAAUGGCACAGCAUGGCACACCGAAUCCCAAACAUAAUUUCGCCCACUUUGUCUUUAUCGAUCCACGUUUAUGUCUAUCAUUACUUACUAAAUAGUAAUUAUCAUAGUAUGCCCCCUAAAUUACAUAAACCCUAAAAGAAGGUAUCAUCACCUAAUUUCCAAGAAUUACUUGCAAGACGAUUUAUUUAUACCUAAACAGGGAGUGAAGCCCCAGAGGCACAAUUAAAAACUUUCUUGAACAAAUCUGAUGAAACUAACUGGGCUGCAAUUAAUUGUAACAUUUCGUACUGACAACAAUAAAAUCUUUCAGAUAUCCAAUCAUUAAAGAUAUAAACUUAACGGUGCAUAUAAAGUAUGAAAAAUUCUUGUCCUGGAUCCAAUAUGAACUCUAAAGUGAGAUCCAAAUGUCUAGAUAAGUUUCCCCAGGUCUAGGUCUAGGUGUGUAUAAAAUAUAUUCUCAUUUACUCAUAGACUCUCACUACCAAUGUAUCAACUCUCAUUUUUUAAAUAAGCACAUAAAAUUGUUAGCAUAAUUACAGCAAUUAG